UUCUUCUUCUUCUUCUUCAGACCUUUAGCAUGACUAACGCCAACCUCCCUCUCUUCCAAAGACAGAUUCAAUACUUCAAGCCUUCAGCUUUCUAACUCAAACCUCUCUCUUCCCUUCUUUGUCUCUUCCUCUCCUUAUAUAAGUGAAUGACUCCUUCAUACCUUAUCACUAUCUCCCCUCCUUUUGCUCUUCCUAUCUUUCACGGUUUCAAAACUCCUCAUUUAAUUGAAUCAGAAAACAGCUUAUUUAAAGAAGAGCUCAAGAAUACUGACAAAAUGUGGAUGAUUCACUUCAGUAAUUCAAUCAACAUUCUGUUUCCUUUUGUGAGAGGCAAAUUGGUCUAACCACAGGCCCAGGUUCAAGGCCACCGUCAACUUUAAUGGCAAGGAGUUGUUAGCUGCAUCCUUUGUACGAGUCGUCAAGUUGUUGCCGUUGGCUGUAGAGAAAAGCUUAGAAAUUAGGGUAAGGAAAAUUACCCCAAUCUGUGAUUAUUUUUUAUUAGGCUUAUAUCAAGUUGAGGUUAUACAAUUUCAGGGAGAUCAGAGGAAGAAUGUUCCCACCUUCCUUGUGCAAGCUGGCAUUGUGAAGAAGGAACAUAUCAAGAUUCAUUGUUUUUGAAUAGUUGUAGCCUGCAGUUCGUAUUGAUUUGCUAGAUGUGAAUGGUGAUGUGGGCGGACUUAGACGAAGAUAAUGAGCUACUUGUCUUUUAUCUUAAGACUAAAGAAGAAUGUUGUGUACCUGAUGGUGCACUCCCACACAUAGAUAGAGUGGAAGAAAACCAUAAACUGGAGUUCUAUGGAGUUCUUGAAAACUUGCCUUAAGUUAUGAUUAGGAGUUCUAUGAUGAUUGUAUGUAACUUAUUAUAGAACAUGGUGGAAAAAUUGAAUCUAAAGGAAAGAGGAACCAUUUUGGAUUAGCACAUGUUGACAAGUUUGGGGUUUGAUGGUGCCAUAGAAGUUUCAGUGGAAGUCUUCUCUCAGUUGCUAAGCUGUCACGUAUGUAAAUUAGGUUACUUAUUGAAAAAAAAAUUGUAAAUUAGGCUAGAUAUUGAAAGUUCUUGCUGAAUGCUAUAGUUGCUAAAAGCUAUGUUUAGCUACUAAACUACUUGAGAUGUUCCUUAAAAUUUUGGGAUAUAAGUUAAUAAGAAAUGCUUUUUACAUUAUGCUUUCAGAUAUAA